rnacentral:rRNA from 1 species
GACGUAGGGGCGCGAGCGUUUGUCCGGGAUUUAUUGGGCGUAAAGAGCUCGUAGGCGGCUUGUCGCGUCGUUUGUGAAAACCUGCAGCUCAACUGCAGGCUUCGGUCGAUACGGGCAGGCUAGAGUUGGUAGGGGGAGACUGGAAUUCCUGGUGUAGCGGUGAAAAUGCGCAGAUAUCAGGAGGAACACCGGUGGGCGAAGGCGGUUCUC